UCAAUGAACCAUCAAAUCCACUUGGUGGAGCAUAUUCGAUAAUCAAUGUCACAAUUGACAGUGGGAAUAUUGUUAUACAGUGCCAGCCGUAUUUUGACCUGAACAUCUAUGGAAACUGGACAACACUACGUGCUAGACCAUGCUCUCGAGCAUCUGUAGCACCGCUAACAAAAGGAAAACCAACAACACAGAGAAUGAUGUCAACAACGGUAGCUCCAACAACACCGACACCACCGACAACAUCGGGAAUUACAUCGGCAGUCAUUCCAACCUCAUCGUUAUACAGACUUGGCACCGUGAUCGGCGCUGGUAUUGGCGGGAUGGUGUUUGGGAUAUUGGCAACGACGUUGGUGGCCGUAAUGGUGUAUCGGAAAAUGCAAGGAAAACCGGUGCAGACUGAAGUUCCGAAUCAGACACAAAAUGCAGCAUACGAAGAUGCUAAUAUUGCUGAGAGUUCCCUUAUAAAAAGUGAUGCUUACGGCGUUGUAGAAUCCUCCCCACAACCACAGUAUGAAUUUAUCUGCCCACAGUAACUGAUUAUGCACUUUUCAUUCGGCUCUGCAAUUCGGGUUGCUUUCCCUCUUUCUCUUAUUCGUUUAAGGUUCUCUCGGAAUACAUUCUUCCAUUUUUACCCUGGUGUAUUUUAUUUAGGCUAGAUUUUCAAAAAAAGCGUUUAGCAUUUUCUCACCCCGCAGCAUUCAGUGCCAUCUUAUAUUAUCGUAUCUUCGCAGAAACUUUCUGUUCCUUCGGUGAGUUUCUUUUCUGGAAAUAUUCCCUUGUUCAUGCCAAAAUUGGUUCACAUAUCUUUCAAUUUCAACCUUCUUUCGUUCUAGUUAAACAAUGAAAUUCAAAUGUAUGAUUUCUAGUAACAUUAUCCUUAUCGGAACCCAAAGCUCCUACAUAGCGAACCUCAUUACCAUGCUACAACUAAUAUCCUCUUCGUGAAAGAAGUCUUGUAUUGGUCAUGUCAUUAACAAUGCUAGCUAUUUGUCUAGGGCAAUACUGGGUAAAUGAACAGGUGCUGUUCUCACUCAUGUUAUUCUGUGUUGUUCCUCUGUCUACAAAAUU